CGACACACUAUCGUUAACUGAAUACAUAGGUUAACGAGGCGAACCGGGGGAACUGAAACAUCUAAGUACCCCGAGGAAAAGAAAUCAACCGAGAUUCCCCCAGUAGCGGCGAGCGAACGGGGAGCAGCCCGGAGUCUGAAUCAGCUUGUGUGUUAGUGGAACGGUCUGGAAAGUCCGACGGUACAGGGUGAUAGUCCCGUACACGAAAACACACUUGCUGUGAACUCGAAGAGUAGGGCGGGACACGUGGUAUCCUGUCUGAAUAUGGGGGGACCAUCCUCCAAGGCUAAAUACUCCUGACUGACCGAUAGUGAACCAGUACCGUGAGGGAAAGGCGAAAAGAACCCCGGCGAGGGGAGUGAAAAAGAACCUGAAACCGUGUACGUACAAGCAGUGGGAGCACCUUCGGGUGUGACUGCGUACCUUUUGUAUAAUGGGUCAGCGACUUAUAUUCUGUAGCAAGGUUAACCGUAUAGGGGAGCCGAAGGGAAACCGAGUCUUAACUGGGCGUUAAGUUGCAGGGUAUAGACCCGAAACCCGGUGAUCUAGCCAUGGGCAGGUUGAAGGUUGGGUAACACUAACUGGAGGACCGAACCGACUAAUGUUGAAAAAUUAGCGGAUGACCUGUGGCUGGGGGUGAAAGGCCAAUCAAACCGGGAGAUAGCUGGUUCUCCCCGAAAGCUAUUUAGGUAGCGCCUCGUGAACUCAUCUUCGGGGGUAGAGCACUGUUUCGGCUAGGGGGCCAUCCCGGCUUACCAACCCGAUGCAAACUACGAAUACCGAAGAAUGUUAUCACGGGAGACACACGGCGGGUGCUAACGUCCGUCGUGAAGAGGGAAACAACCCAGACCGCCAGCUAAGGUCCCAAAGUCAUGGUUAAGUGGGAAACGAUGUGGGAAGGCACAGACAGCCAGGAUGUUGGCUUAGAAGCAGCCAUCAUUUAAAGAAAGCGUAAUAGCUCACUGGUCGAGUCGGCCUGCGCGGAAGAUGUAACGGGGCUAAACCAUGCACCGAAGCUGCGGCAGCGACGCUUAUGCGUUGUUGGGUAGGGGAGCGUUCUGUAAGCCGUUGAAGGUGUGCUGUGAGGCAUGCUGGAGGUAUCAGAAGUGCGAAUGCUGACAUAAGUAACGAUAAAGCGGGUGAAAAGCCCGCUCGCCGGAAGACCAAGGGUUCCUGUCCAACGUUAAUCGGGGCAGGGUGAGUCGACCCCUAAGGCGAGGCCGAAAGGCGUAGUCGAUGGGAAACAGGUUAAUAUUCCUGUACUUGGUGUUACUGCGAAGGGGGGACGGAGAAGGCUAUGUCAGCCGGGCGACGGUUGUCCCGGUUUAAGCAUGUAGGCGGAGGUUCCAGGUAAAUCCGGUACCUUUUAACGCUGAGGUGUGAUGACGAGGCACUACGGUGCUGAAGUGAUAAAUGCCCUGCUUCCAGGAAAAGCCUCUAAGCAUCAGGUAACACGAAAUCGUACCCCAAACCGACACAGGUGGUCAGGUAGAGAAUACCAAGGCGCUUGAGAGAACUCGGGUGAAGGAACUAGGCAAAAUGGUGCCGUAACUUCGGGAGAAGGCACGCUGAUA
rnacentral:rRNA from 1 species